UGAGGAACAUGACCUUCGGCGGGGAAUAGCCGGCCCAACGGCCGGGUAAUACCGCGUACGACCACUUUGGGACAUCCCUCGGUGGUGAAAGCAGCAAUGCGCCGAUGGAGUGCCUCGCGGCCUAUCAGCUAGUUGGUGAGGUAACGGCUCACCAAGGCGACGACGGGUAGCUGGU
rnacentral:rRNA from 1 species